rnacentral:lncRNA from 1 species
GUUGCAUUUUUUAGUGACUAAAAGAAUAAAGGCCAUGGGGAUUUGUGCCAAAGGCCUUGUUGUCUGGGAAAUUGUAUGGAAUUAAAAAAAUGAAUCUCAUAUUUUCAUUGGUUAACGCAGAUGCAGUGCCCAGUCUUCAAGACAGGCAGAAUACUAAAGAGAGGCCAAAGAAGAGCAGCCUGUAAAAAAACAGCUAAGCUGGCAGCAGUAGCAAGGACCUUUUACAUGACAUGAAAGCCAUGUAACUCCAGAUGUGUGACGAAAACUCAGUAUGCCCAUUUCCAAACUGAAGAGCGCCUCCCAGAGCCCAGGUGUUCAUAUCGUGACAGUAUUGCUGGCUCACUGACUCUUCGGGAUAAGCUCUGCAGAGCCUGCCAAACGCUUCUGGCUGGAGCUGUCUGGACAGUGGCUCCUCAGGGGCACCCUGGUGCACAUCCGCUGAGAGGGGCCGGCAAGGAUGCGGAGACAGAGCGGGUCCCGGGGAGCUGAAGAGGAGAGGCAGGAACAGCAGAAGGGGUGAAUAUUUCAUUGCCCUUUGUUUCUGAUGUGUAGAAAGGAGCAAAGGCCUUGGAUGCCGAGGUAUGUCUCCGGAGGGGGGAAAAAUGUGUGGCAGUUUUUCUCUACUUUGAUCAAAUCAUUUCCAAGGAAAUAGUGAGUUUUUGCAGAGUCUUAGAUAAGGAGAGACUUCUCUUACUUCCAUUUGU